rnacentral:hammerhead_ribozyme from 1 species
ACCCAACCGACGAGCCCCAAAUAGGACGAAACGGUUGUCCUAGAU